GCGAGCUCGGGGGGCAAGCGCGGCACUCCCCGCUAGAGCGCAGGGGUGCCCCCAAGCUUCUGAGGCCCGAUCCUGGUGCGGGUCCAGCUUGGGCUCCGCUGGCGGGACGCAUCCUGGUGAUUCAUGCACGUUCGCCGCAGACAUCCUAGGAAGCGGCGCACGCAAGGGCCACCCCAAGACAGCGGCCCCCAAAGUCGCCCUUGCUUCGCCAUCUCGGCGCACGCGGUCCAGCCGUUCCGGGGCUCUCGCUGCCGCCGAAGCCGGCGGUGGAGUUGCGCCACCCCAGCAAGCCUUCGUGGGCCCUGUUCGGUCUGGAUGACAGGCUGGAGCUGGAGAGCUGGAAUGUUCUGCGCGCAGGCGUAGGAGGUGCUGUCUAAGGCCACCGCAUCGGUUGCUGGCGCGAUGGAGGGCGCUGACCCGCGAGGUCGUCUCAGCCGGCUAGGAACUCAUGGCGAUCUCUCGGAGCAAGUCGGAGUUCCUGCGGGAGCUGCAUCACCGCCAAAGGGUCGGGUCGUCCGGCGCCUAGGGGGCAGAGGGCUCUCGCUUAGCACCUCGACGCCCCAAUGGGAGCUAGAUGCGGCUCAGUCUGCAAGGGACGCGGCUGCAGAAGAUACGGCUCGUGAGCGAGCGCGCGCGGAUGAGGCGGAGGCGUGGCUCCGAGAGCUGCACAUCUCUUCUGGCGCGUGGCAGCGAAGGGUCGCCACCACCUCCGAUUGCGUCGCUGAGCUAAAGGAGUAGCGUUUGGACAUAAAGGAAGAGCUCGCCGAACUCCGCAUUGCGGCCUAGGGGCUUGGUGACUACAUUUCUAGGCCGAGCUGGGGGUAUUCCAAUGAACUGAUUGAGCGGCUCCAUGCGGCUCCUCUGCGGGUCGAUGAGCUGAUCUCCGAUGGGGAGCGGCUGCCGCCGCCUCCCACUACGACAAAGUGCAUCUCGAGGUUGUGGGCAGCGGCUGCAACCCCACGUGGUGCAAGGGCGCGCUGCUGGAGCUUGGCACCGCUGCGGGUCCGCACGCCUUCCUGCUAGACGAGAAGAUCUUGCCAUCUGAUGCCAUCAACCGCCGGAUCGGCCAACCCUAGGAUUCAGCUCCUGCGUGGGCUUAUUUUUGCUUGCUUGUGUCGGACAAAACAAG